GUGCUUUUGAGACUGUUUAUUGCAUAGCUUAUGUUUGUUUUUGCUCAACGUUAUUUCAUUUGUUGGUAAACAGCCAUUGUUGCUAUAAAUCCCAAUCUCUCGCUUCUUUCAAGUUCAUCUAUUGCAAACCUUGCCGAUUAUAUUAGCCAUCUGCUUUUAUCUUCACAUUACUCUGGACGAAUGUAAUUUGAAUGGAAAGUGGCUGCACCGAAAUCCUGACGUUGGCUCACUUUCUAGAUAAUACAAACUGAACGAUACAUUCAUCGAAAUAACUGACCCCACAUGAGGAUAUUGGAUGAAACCUCCAAAGGUCUAUUCCGACUAGAAUUCGUAACCAAGUCGUUGGUUUAAGCAACAGUGAGCAUCUUUCAAGCCUUCAAAAUGACCAUUAUUACAAAGAAUGCAGUCUCAAUGGACCCAAGAGAAAUGGAAACGUCUCCUGGGUAUAUGCAUGCAUGUGUAAAUUGCCAAUCCAUCCAUGGAGAUAUACCGGUGCAUUGAAAGGAAGGUUUCGCUAUCCAGCUACUUGUUGACGAUCCAAACGCCACUGUUCUACAUAUUUGGAUGAUAAUGCGAAAGAAUAUUGACGGUGUCUUGAUUAUUUCAAGUAUGACUUCAUUUUUACGACAACGAACCUGAAUUUAUGGACCUCGACUCUUUCGAUGGAUUGACUUGUGAACUAAUAUGAGUACUUGGAAGGGCAUGCGAUGCAUACCAAUCUUUAGUGUCGGAUUUCGGCAGCAAAUGGCAUAUUAAGAAUUGACAUCAAAAUUAGUUUCGUAAGACUUAAUUUCUUGUGAACACUUUGACUUGUUACUCCAAUUUUUGAAUAUUUUAAAAGCGUACAUUCCAAUGAAAUUUAAUUAAAUAUUUGUUUCAAAUAACCUCCAAUUUGAUCUAGAGUUUCAAAAUUUAAAGGUCAAUUUCAUGCUAGUUAUUAUUGGUACUCCUGUUUAUAAAAGCAAUUGCUCAUCUUAAAAUGGUACUUUCUCAGAUUUGCUUCAAAGAAAAUAGUUGAUUUUGAUACCGAUUUAAGCUCCUAAUUUUCAGAGGCUCAAAAUUUAAUUACAAUUAAAUGUUGCUUAAGCAUAAUGAAACGGAUGAAUGUAGGA